UGUGCGUGAGACCACAGCUGAGAAUACCUCCAACAGUACAAGCAGCGUAGAAUCGAGGAGAGUACAUCUCGAUCUUGCCUAGAGGCUCGUUGGGAGCAGGAAUCACAAAGUUGUUGUUCUGUUUGGCGGGUGAUGUAGAAGGAAACAAGGUAGGGUUUGAAGUGUUGCCCAUGAGUAGGCUGCUAGGCGAAGCAGAAGAAGUGUAGAGGAAAUUAGGGAUGAGAGAUUGACGAGAGUUGUCGGAAAACGCCAUGGCCGAAUAUCAGAGAAAAGAACGGAGAAGAUGAUUGUGGGAUGACUUGAGUCGACCCAGACCUCUCCGAUUUC
rnacentral:lncRNA from 1 species